CAGUUAUUUAUUUUGAUAAUUUUUUUUUUUUUUUGAGAGAGAUAGAUAGCACACUAUCUAUUUCGUUUAUUUCAUUUAAAAAUAAGCUUAGCUGAAAAUAUAAAUCAAUUAGAAUUCGAACUUAGAUCUCGAAUACCAAUCAUAAAAUUCUUUUGCCACUUGCGUUAGAAACGGUCGGUAUAUUCAAAUAAUUGUUAGAGAAGGUGAAGGGUGGUGGGAG
rnacentral:lncRNA from 1 species